AGGAAGAUUCUGUGCUAUCUACGUUAUGGUAAAACCUCCACAGGGAAAAGUGUAGGCUGGCAGGUGGUAAGAGCUGAGGGGUUCUCAGUUCAGUCAGACCUCUGAGAAUGAGUUAUGGACCCCUGAAGCCUAUGUGGCCCAGUCCCUUAAAGGGCUUCCCUGAGGCCUUGCCUAUCCUGCAAUAAGAGUAACACAGAAGGUGGAUCAGUAUGCUUCUCUGUCAGAAUGCAGCAACCUUUUUUGGCUGCUUUAUGUUGGAUUUAUCAAUAAUUACUUUUGUUUUUAUUAACUUGGGGUAUAUAUUUGUCCAGAGCACUUGGCUUGUCUAAGCUCAAGGCUACACAAAGCUAUUUACAAAGACUAGAGGAGAGGAGCCCUCCAUGACUAUAGUCAGAACAAGAACAGGGUGAGAGCCACAGGAAAGAACCAAGUACUCUAAACGUAAAGUAGUGCGGGCCAGGCGGGGCUAGGACAGCAGAGCUUGUUGCAGCAUAUGUCUGAGCUGGUGGAAAUCGGCACAUUUCAGGUGACAAAAAUAAUUUUAUGUAAGUUAAAUGAAAAGUUCAGACAAUCAUUUAAACAACUUUAAAAGUAGACCUUUCACAAACAGAUGAAUGUACAAAGCAUGAAUUAACACCCAGAAUGACAUGUAUUUUGGCAAUUACUUAACACAAGCUUUUUUUUUAAACCAUAAUAUGUUUUAUCAGGGCAUUUUCAGUGAGUUAGGCAUUGUGGGUGACAACAUAAAAUGUGGUCCUUGCCACUAAUGGCUUUCAAAGAUCCGAGAUAGCAUGUAGAGGCAAGUGUGUGCCAUUGCCACACUUUGCCUGGUCCUUUGGUCAAGACACCUCUGGCACUUCACCCCCUGCAGCUGGAAUCUUAGGCUGCUCAUCCUUCUGCUGAAUUCUGAAGAACGUAGCCUUUUCCUGGAGAAACUCCUUUCUUCAGUGCUUCAGGCCAGUUACGAGUUUCAAAGUAAGUAGACAGGAUAUCGAACACUGUCAGAAGGUAAACAGAUGUUGGUUGACCGUUAGGGAGAAGACUAGUAAAGGACUAAUGUGGAAAAGGGGUGCUGUGGAAUGUCUUCACUGCCCAGCUGUCCUGAGUCACAUGUGAUGGUAGAUCAUGGGAACAGUGGGGCAAGGACACAGCCCUACUUACAAGGCCUCAGCUUACACUGAACACUUGUGAAUGGACAACUGCAACCGAGGAACACAGCACCAUGGGAAUACCAACAAGGGGCCUGACAGCCUGCAGUGGGAGGAGAGGCAGCUAAGAUGCUCCUGAGCUGACGCCUAGAGAACAAAGAUACUGGCCAAUGAAGGGACUGCCAGUCUGAAAACCUGAGAGGGCGUGACUCAAUCUUACACUUGUCAGAACGGCUAAGAUCAAGGACACAGAUGACAGCUCAUGCUGUUGAAGAUGUGGAGCGAGGGGAAAGAAUGGUCCUCCGUCGCUGGUGGGAGUGCAAACAGCUGCGGCCACUUUGGAAAUCAAUAUGGUGAUUUCUUUCUUUUUUAAAAAAGAUUUAUUUAUUUAUUUAUUAUAUGUAAGUACACUGUAGCUCUCUUAAGACACCAGAGAAGAGGGCAUCAGAUCUCGUUAUGGAUGGUUGUGAGCCACCAUGUGGUUGCUAAACACAUGAAACUCAAGAAGAAUGAAGACUGAAGUGUGG
rnacentral:lncRNA from 1 species